rnacentral:rRNA from 1 species
AUACGGAGGGUGCGAGCGUUAAUCGGAAUUACUGGGCGUAAAGCGCGCGUAGGCGGUUUGUUAAGUCGGAUGUGAAAUCCCCGGGCUCAACCUGGGACCUGCAUCCGAUACUGGCAGGCUAGAGUCUGGUAGAGGGGGGUAGAAUUCCUGGUGUAGCGGUGAAAUGCGUAGAUAUCAGGAGGAAUACCAGUGGCGAAGGCGGCCCCCUGGACUGAGACUGACGUUGAGGUGCGAAAGCGUGGGGAGCAAACAGGAUUAGAAACCCUAGUAGUCC